UACGUAGGCAGCAAGCGUUGUUCGGAUUUACUGGGCGUAAAGGGUGUGUAGGCGGUUCUCUAAGUUUGGUGUGAAAUCUCCCGGCUCAACCGGGAGGGUGCGCCGAAAACUGGAGGACUGGAGUGCGGGAGAGGAGAGUGGAAUUCCUGGUGUAGCGGUGAAAUGCGUAGAUAUCAGGAGGAACACCGGCGGUGUAGACGGCUCUCUGGACCGUAACUGACGCUGAGACACGAAAGCGUGGGGAGCAAACAGG
rnacentral:rRNA from 1 species